UGGGGAAUCUUGCACAAUGGGCGAAAGCCUGAUGCAGCAACGCCGCGUGCGGGAUGAAGGCCUUCGGGUUGUAAACCGCUUUCAGCAGGGAUGAAAUUGACAGUACCUGCAGAAGAAGCCCCGGCUAACUACGUGCCAGCAGCCGCGGUAAUACGUAGGGGGCAAGCGUUAUCCGGAUUUAUUGGGCGUAAAGAGCGCGUAGGCGGGCUGUUAAGCGAGAUGUGAAAACUGGGGGCUUAACCCGCAGCUUGCAUCUCGAACUGGCAGCCUUGAGUCUGGUAGAGGAGUGUGGAAUUCCCAGUGUAGCGGUGAUAUGCGCAGAUAUUGGGAGGAACACCAGUGGCGAAGGCGGCACUCUGGGCCACGACUGACGCUGAGGCGCGAAAGCUAGGGGAGCGAACA
rnacentral:rRNA from 1 species